GCCUACGGGGGGCAGCAGUGGGGAAUGUUGCGCAAUGGGCGAAAGCCUGACGCAGCGACGCCGCGUGAGGGAUGAAGGUCUUCGGAUCGUAAACCUCUGUCAGCAGGGAAGAACGGUCACUGUGCUAAUCAGCAGUGAAUUGACGGUACCUGCAAAGGAAGCACCGGCUAACUCCGUGCCAGCAGCCGCGGUAAUACGGAGGGUGCGAGCGUUAAUCGGAAUUACUGGGCGUAAAGCGCUCGUAGGCGGUAUGUCAAGUCAAGGGAGAAAUCCCCGCGCUCAACGUGGGAACUGCCUUUGAAACG
rnacentral:rRNA from 1 species